rnacentral:rRNA from 1 species
UACAGAGGUCUCAAGCGUUGUUCGGAUUCAUUGGGCGUAAAGGGUGCGUAGGUGGCGGGGUAAGUUGGAUGUGAAAUCCCGGGGCUCAACCCCGGAACUGCAUUCAAAUACUGCCUUGCUAGAGUACUGGAGAGGAGAUUGGAAUUUACGGUGUAGCAGUGAAAUGCGUAGAUAUCGUAAGGAAGACCAGUGGCGAAGGCGGAUCUCUGGACAGUUACUGACACUGAGGCACGAAGGCCAGGGGAGCAAACGGG